UGGGGAAUUUUGGACAAUGGGCGAAAGCCUGAUCCAGCAAUGCCGCGUGUGUGAAGAAGGCCUUCGGGUUGUAAAGCACUUUUGUCCGGAAAGAAAUGGCUCUGGUUAAUACCUGGGGUCGAUGACGGUACCGGAAGAAUAAGGACCGGCUAACUACGUGCCAGCAGCCGCGGUAAUACGUAGGGUCCAAGCGUUAAUCGGAAUUACUGGGCGUAAAGCGUGCGCAGGCGGUUGUGCAAGACCGAUGUGAAAUCCCCGAGCUUAACUUGGGAAUUGCAUUGGUGACUGCACGGCUAGAGUGUGUCAGAGGGGGGUAGAAUUCCACGUGUAGCAGUGAAAUGCGUAGAGAUGUGGAGGAAUACCGAUGGCGAAGGCAGCCCCCUGGGAUAACACUGGCGCUCAUGCACGAAAGCGUGGGGAGCAAACAGGAUUAGAUACCCUGGUAGUCCACGCCCUAAACGAUGUCAACUAGUUGUUGGGGAUUCAUUUCCUUAGUAACGUAGCUAACGCGUGAAGUUGACCGCCUGGGGAGUACGGUCG
rnacentral:rRNA from 1 species